CACCAAUCAUAGAUCAAAAUAAAUGGCAAUGAAUUAAGCCUUUAGUGCAAAAUAACAGAAGCAAAUAAAGGAUAUUAUUAGAGUGACAACCUUCGGGAUAGAAAUUUCAUGAAUGGUCAAGAGGACAUCAGAGCACAAUUUACAUUCAAGCAGUACAACAUUCAAUUCAAUGCUUUCCACUUGUCAUGGUCCAUGAAUCAACCAUUUAAAGGCACAUCAGGACCAUCUACA
rnacentral:lncRNA from 1 species